ACGGAAGGCAGCAGUGGGGGAUAUUGCACAAUGGGCGCAAGCCUGAUGCAGCGACGCCGCGUGAGUGAAGAAGUAUUUCGGUAUGUAAAGCUCUAUCAGCAGGGAAGAAAAUGACGGUACCUGACUAAGAAGCUCCGGCUAAAUACGUGCCAGCAGCCGCGGUAAUACGUAUGGAGCAAGCGUUAUCCGGAUUUACUGGGUGUAAAGGGAGCGUAGGCGGUGAUGCAAGUCAGAAGUGAAAACCCGGGGCUCAACCCCGUGGAUUGCUUUUGAGACUGUGUUGCUGGAGUACAGGAGGGGCAGGCGGAAUUCCUGGUGUAGCGGUGAAAUGCGUAGAUAUUAGGAGGAACACCAGUGGCGAAGGCGGCUUACUGGACGGUAACUGACGUUGAGGCUCGAAAGCGUGGGGAGCAAACAGGAUUAGAUACCCUGGUA
rnacentral:rRNA from 1 species